CUCGUUAGCCCUGAUCCCGCUCACCUGUGUUGCUCCUGCCCCGCUCGUUAGUCCCUGUGUAUAUGUAUGCCUGCUUGUCUCUCCAGUCUUUGUCACGUCCUUGCGUCUAUGUUGAGUGUUCUGCGUGGUGCUCUGUUCCCUGGAUUUCUGGUUUGUCCCCCCAUUUUGGAUUACGCUGUCUUUGUGUUGGAUUUGCCUUCUUCUGGAUUACCUUUGUUUUGACCCUUGCUCCGAGCUUCCACUUUUUUUAAUUCUGGGCGUGUCAGGGUUUCUGAGUUGGCACCUGCUGGUAACCACGCACCUGUUCCUGAUCAGCCAUCCCUACCUCUUAAGGAGAGACCAGACUUCCAUUCCCUGCCGGAUUGUUAAGUCGCGUACCGUAGGUCUUACCAAAGCAUCUAGCCUUAAGCCUGUUAAUCUAGCAACCAGUUUGCUUUUACUAACUUCUCUCUCCAGAUCACCUGCUCUACCUUCUCUGUCUGCCUGCCAGUUCCAAGUCCCUCAAAGCCGAGAUCCAAACUUUCCAGCCAGCCACGCCAGCCAGCCAGCCCUCACACUCCACUGCUUGGAAAGAGACUCCCUGCCACCUCACCCUGCCUCAGUCAAUAAACUCUUUAACUGCU